AGCGAACGCUGGCGGCGUGCCUAACACAUGCAAGUCGAACGUGAAAGGGAGCAAUCCCAAGUAAAGUGGCGUACGGGUGAGUAACACGUAGGUAAUCUACCCCAGAAUCUGGACUAACCGGCCGAAAGGCUGGCUAAUACUGGAUAGAGCGACGGAAUCCGUAAUUGGGUUUUUCGGGAAAGGGAGCCUGUAAAAAGGCCUUCGUUCUGGGAUGAGCCUGCGUCCCAUCAGCUAGUUGGUGAGGUAAAAGCUUACCAAGGCAAUGACGGGUAGCUGGUCUGAGAGGACGAUCAGCCACACUGGAACUGAAACACGGUCCAGACUCCUACGGGAGGCAGCAGUGGGGAAUCUUGCGCAAUGGACGAAAGUCUGACGCAGCAACGCCGCGUGAGUGAAGAAGGCCUUCGGGUUGUAAAGCUCUGUCGAGUGGGACGAAAAUGCUUGGAGUUCACAGCUCCAGGAACUGACGGUACCACUAAAGGAAGCACCGGCUAACUCCGUG
rnacentral:rRNA from 1 species